rnacentral:rRNA from 1 species
CAGUCGCCACGGUAAAACGUAGGGUGCAAGCGUUAAUCGGAAUUACUGGGCGUAAAGCGUGCGCAGGCGGUGUUGUAAGGCUGAUGUGAAAUCCCCGGGCUCAACCUGGGAACUGCAUUGGUGACUGCAACGCUGGAGUGCGGCAGAGGGGGAUGGAAUUCCGCGUGUAGCAGUGAAAUGCGUAGAUAUGCGGAGGAACACCGAUGGCGAAGGCAAUCCCCUGGGCCUGCACUGACGCUCAUGCACGAAAGCGUGGGGAGCAAACAGGAUUAGAUACCCGCGUAGUCCCUGUCUCUUAUAC